CUGCCGCACAGGGCUGAGCCCUCGUUCGCCACUGCUCGAUUUCUCCUCUCCCACGCGGCCCCUCCAUCGUCGUCGCAUCCCGUCACGUCGAUCCGGCGGCGGCGUAGGUGGAGUGGCGGCUCAGGGAGCGGCCGGCACGGCGAUAUGCUGCUCCCGUCGAUCCGGCGGCAGCGCAGGAAGCAGUCGGCGGAGGGAGCGGUGUCUUGCCAAUAUCUCAGGUGCCACCUGACUACCCUCAAGCACCGCUGCCGCCACGCCACGGGUGGACAGGUACUUCUCCGCCUCGCCGGCGCCACCGUCUACCACGCCUCCGCUGUUCGUCGCAUCGGCUGGCACAUGGAGAUGAUCCCGGAGCUCAAUGCUAAGUCCCAUUUUACAAAGCUUAGAUUUAAUAUGAUCCAAACUGAAACUCGAUUCACCUCAGUUGCAAAUUGUGACGAGUUUUAUUGUAUACACAUCCAAAUGAAAAAAAAUUUACUCCCGCUGUUCCAGUUUAGAGGGUGUACGAGUAUUUUGCCGCUGUCCUGCAAUACACGGCACACAUUUGGAUUAACAACUCUUUUCAUAUUUAUACAAUUUGUGUUUUAUUUGAGGGAUAGUGAUCAGGUGAUUAUAUUGGCCUUUAUUUAUUGUUCAUGCAAGCACUGCAGAUAA
rnacentral:lncRNA from 1 species